rnacentral:lncRNA from 1 species
UAAGGGUAAGCUUUUAAACUAUGCCAAGAAACCAACAUGGCCAGCAUCUGUUGCACGUUGUUGCCAUUAGGUAGCAGCUUCAACUUCUUGCUGACUGCUGUUGCCAUUAGGCAGCAGCUGCACCCUCGCCUUGCAUAGCCUAACUCCCCCGUGUUGAUUAUGUGUUAGAUAUCAUACAAGUGAUACCUUCAGCCAUUACCAAAGGAGUCUAGCUGGGAAUUCCUAUAAGACCAUAAGCUAACCCCUCCGUUCAUCGAACCGGAAAAGGUACCGGGUGCUUUAAUAUGCAGCAUUUAAAUUUGAUAAUAUGCAGCAUUUAAAUUUGAUAAUUGUUUUGUGCUUUUGUUAGUUUUUUGUUUUUUCAUAUGAGAAUGUUUCUUUCUCUUUCUCUCGUAUUUAUUGUUGUCUCUAUAGAAGUUACUACCAAGGUUUUCAUAACCGAACCGUUUAUCGAACCGAAAAAGGUACCGGGUGGACGGAUCACUAGUCCAACCAGUAGUCGACCCAGUGACGUCAUUAAUAUAUAAAAAUAUUUAUUAUUAGUAAUUAAUAAAAAUUUUAAAAAUCUCAUUUUUCAUGAACUAAAACAUAAUAAAGAUGAGUUAUAAUAUUAAUAAAAGUAGUUAAUUUUAAUAUUAAAAAUUUUUUGGUAAAAAAAAUAAUAAUUAAAAAUCGGGUCAACUGGGUCAAUUAACCGGGUUUACCGAUUGGACUGGUGGUCGGGUUUUGACCAAAACCGAGUCACCGGGCUAAAUCAGACCAGAAUGCGAACCAGUUCUGAUUUUUAUCGGUCCGACCGCAUGUCUGGUCCGGUUCAGGUUUUAAAACAUUGGUUACUACUCCCUCCAUUCCUAUUAGGGUUAAAUAAACUUAUGUCCCUCGAAGUAUGACCCAUUUUAUACUUGUGACCCUAAUGUUUAAAACCUCACAUUAUCAUACUCGAAGUGCACUUAAGUAAACAAAAGUGACCCUAAAUUCAUUUCCGAUCAAAAAACUGCCCGAGUGCUGACAUGUCACCAGAAAAAUCAUAUUUUUAUAAUUUUCAACGUAUUUUAGUGUAUUUUACCAUUAAAAAAAAUAAUACAUGUAUUUAUUAAAUUCGUAUACUUAUAUUAAAGUCGUAUAAUUUGAUUAUAAAAUUAUAAAUACAAUUUAAAAUUAUAAAAAAAUUAUAAAUGCAAUUUAAAAUUAUAAAAAAUUAUAAAAGCAAAUUUAAAACAUUAGGAAACAAAUUAAAGAUAACGGAUUGGACUCUUUUCUUUUUCUCAUAAAAAAAAAAUUAACACAAACAAAGAAUAAAUAAAUUACACUAUUUUCCUUUUCUGGCAUAAAUUUUAAAUUCCCUCCUCUCUUCUUCUAAACUUUGAGUACUUUGGGUCCAUAAACAAAUUACGGAGGGAGCAUAUGAGCAGCGUCAAGUAAUGAAGAAGCUGUGGAUGGUUAAGGUACUCUCCAAAACUGUAGCGAUUACAUUUUUUUUCCUAGUAAAUAAAAUAAAAAUAAAUAAAAUUUUUAUUUUUAUUUUAAUGAGUUGUAUGAUGUGGCAUACUUUAUUUGUUGCAAUAUAAAAUAUGCGUAUGUGUGAUACGUGAUAUGAUGAAUAUAUUAGAAUAUAUAUAUAUAUAUAUAUAUAUAUAUAUAUAUAUAUAUCGCAUAAAUAAAUUAUGGAAGCAAAUUAUUUUGUGGAUAUUAAAGUAAUGUAUGAAAAAUAAAUUAUUUUAAUUAAUUUAAUAAAUAAAAUAUUUUUAUUUAAUAAAUAUUUUUCAUUUGGAUGGAAAUAAUUCAUGGAUAUUUUAUCCGAAUUUUCAGGGUGCAUUUGGUAUAUUUAAAAGGAUGAAUUACAUAUUCUAUUACAUUUUUAAGAAUAAUUACAACAAUAGUGCCCUCAUAAAAUCUUUACACAACUAAUACACUUCCAUAUUUAUUUACAAUAAUAGUUCAAUUAGGAUUCCUUAAUUUAGGGAAUUAGUAUUCAAUUAGAAUUCCUUAAUUUAUGGCUUCUUCUCUCUCCUCAUCUAUAACAACUGCAUUAGUUAGUCAUCACCCUUCUUAUUCAUUCAACGUAUUCUUUAUAUAUAUAUAUAUAUAUAUAUGUUCCCUUGGCGACUAAUUAUGUACUCAUAUGGUAUCAGAUUCAUGCCAUCCCUAACCGCUGUAACCAAACAACACUCGGCAACAACAUAAUAAGCAAUUCUCUUAGAAAAUUUCAGGGGCUGAUCAAUCAAGACAACUGGCUUAUAUCCUGGUUUCCCAAAUGUACCAUUAAUUCGCUUCACUGUGGAGUAUGUCUCAGCCUGAACUUCCUUUAUAUCUUUUGCUCGACCCCUAGCUAUAUAUCCAAUUUGCCAUUCCUAGUGUCAUAUCAGUCAACCUCUCGUCAUCAUAUUUUCAUUGUCCAAAUCAUGUAUAUAUUUAUGAGUCAACCAACUGGAUAUCUCCCGUAGCUUCUCAAAAUAAAGGGUCAAAAUGGAGGUGGGUAUGAAGAUUCAGACGGUGGUGGCGGUGGAUAUGAACACUGGAUGAUGGUAACCUAACAUUCAUACCAAGGUAACCAAACUGUCAUAUCAAAGUAACAAAUCAACCUCCACACUUUAAAUUUUUUCUUAGUACAGUUGGUUACCAAAUCUUCGUACCAAGGUAACAAAACCUUCAUACCAAAGUAACUAAUUCACAUCCACACCUGCAAUUUUUUCAUAGUGCAGUUGGUAGCCAAACCUUCAGACCAAGGUAACCAAUUUAAUUUUAUUAAGUUACCAAUUUCGUUUGAAUGUGAUGCAGUUGGUAGUCAACCAUUCAUAUAAAGGUAACCAUUUUAUUAUUUAUGAGUAACAAAAUAGUUAUAAAAAAAAUUUCAUAACAUUAAAAGUUACAUCUAUUUAUUUUUAAAUUUUUUGUAGGGCGAAUCUUCUUCUUAUUCUCAUUGGCGUUUUGGAUAACGGAGAUUCACGGCGGUGUAGCGGCGGAGUAUGUGAGGUGUAGCGGCAGACUAUUAUUUCAAAGUAUAUGUGAGGGAGACGAAGAUUUGAAUUUGAAUAUUUAAAUUUGAAUUAUUAUUUUGAAUUUGAAUUUAUUUUUGUUAUUAGAUCCAAAUAUUUGAAUUUGAAUUAUUAAUU